GUGAUCUGCCUGCCUCAGCCUCCCAAAGUGCUGUGAUUACAAGCAUGAGCCACCAUGCCCAGCCAGUCUUUCUUACUGAAGAUACCUGAAACCUAAAUCAAUGGAAAGAGUAUAGGGUUUGGAGACUGGAGACAUCACCUGGCAUCAGGCCCUGGUCCUUCCAGCCUGGUGACCCUGGCCUGUCAUCUAAACUUUCUGAGCUGCAAUUUCGCCACCUGGAAGUAGGGAGCCAGCCCCAGCACAGAGCUUUGUGGGAGGACAGAACAGACGAUGUGGAUAAAGCGCUCCGCAGAUCACAGGGCAGCAAAGGUGAGUAUUGUUGUUAGAUGUGUGGAGUAUUCGACUCACUUUAGCGGCUAUAUUUAAGAGAUGGUCUCUGAGGAAUCUUGAAUCAGAAACAGUGUUCACCUCCUCCUGAAGCAGCAGUGCCUGCCUCACUUUGUCCCCAGCCCUAGUCUUUCCAAGAGGGACAAAAUGCCCUCCUAGGUUCCCACUAAGUAGGAGACACUCAGCUUCCCCACUCAGCCUUGACUGGUGCCCGAUGCAGGGGUGAGGGGGCGAGGAAGGCGCAGGUUCAUCCAGGGCACUCAGGAGACCCACUGGAAGGCUGGAGACUGGCGGCCUCAGAUGCUUUCAAGUCUUCUCUGCAGGGGACACCACUGUGCAGUGGCCUGGGGGUCAGGGCCGGCUCUGCCGAUGAGAGCACUGGGGCUUCCACUGGAUGGUGGGUGGCAGUUAGCCAGGCUUCUCUCUGCCCAGAUCUCAAGGUCUUUCUUGGCACAUGGGGACCGGGUGGCCUGCAUGCUUCUGGGUCCUGUGUGCAGCUGUCCGUGGGGUGGCGUAGAGCCAACUGGGGUGGGAAGGGAUGGGAUGGAGACUCACCAAAACUGACGGCACUCCCCCGGAAAAUGUGUCUCUGUGGCCAUCCAUGGAUCUGUGAGUGCAGACCUAGAAGUCACUGUGAGUUUUGCCAAGGAUGAUGUCCCAGGUUAUAAAGCUGCCACUGGAUUCACCCUGAUUGGCACUUGUUCUUGUCACAGGUUCAGUUGGCCGUACUUGGCAGGACAGGUGGAGUCACCAGGGCUGCCUCUGCCUGCCAAAGAGCCCAGCCACGGGUUGUCCCUAGGCCAGGGGUGGGAGCGGGAGCUACGUCCAUGCUCACUCCCAGCCCUGCCACGGCGGCAACUCACUCCCUGUGAAACCUGCGGCUCUAUGCUGGGACAUGACAAAUGACCAAAAAAUCAAUUUGUAAUCUGAUUGGAGGUUUUUGAUUUCCUCUGAUGAGUUUAAAUUUCAUUAAAAGCAACCUUAUUCCAACAUAAAAGGAAUCCUUGAAGGGUAAAGCAGGGGAUUGUCUCACCAAGUAUAAAGCAUCCCAACUCUUUUGUGUGAUUUAUUCAUGGCAUUAAUUGUGAGGGCCAACCUGUGGUGUCCGUUGGCAGCUGCGCCGUUAUCAGGGCCUGGGAUCAGCCUGGCGAGCUCAAAGCACAAGGACUCACAUUCAAAAAUCACUCUUCGGCAUAUUGACACUUCAGUUAUCAACAACCCUUUUUAUCUGCUGGGAGGGAGAUCGCGGCUCGUGGGGCCGGAAUAAGCCACAAAUCACUGUCGCUGCCGCCUCUCUGCAUUCUCUUAAUUGUAUGUAUUCUCUGGAAAAAAUGAUCAUCAUGGCCUCUUGUCUUGAUGAGAAAUUGACAUUUCUGAGGACUUCUUUGGGUGCACCGAGUGAGCGAGAUAAGGCGUGGGUUGUUUUAGAGGAGAGCAGCCUUUCUUCCCUUUCAGGGGCCUCUUUACCGCUCUCGUUGACCCACUUGAUGAGUAUGGAUUUCAUGAGGUCUUUUUCAGCAUUUGAACUAUAAAAGGUUCAGAAUGACACCACCCCUUAUAGACAAAAGAUAACCUUGCCCUUUGAAUAUAUUGAUUCUUUAUUAACUAGGCUGUUUAAUGCAAUGAAAUGAGGCAUUAGAUUGAAGCCCAUUUCAAGUGCUUUGAAUAAUCUUUAAAAGCUUGAAAGACCUUAAAAGGCAGCCUGACAAUAAUUGGCAUGCAUUUUGGAAGAAUGCAGUUCUUGCUUCUGAUUUGAAACACAAACAGAAAAUAAUUUCUCCAUCCCCAAGUUACAGGGUGUUGGGUACUUGCGGCACCAGCGCAGAGUGGGAAGGAGGUGACUUGCCCAGCAACUGCUUGCCCCAGCCCCAGCCUCCAGCCACUUGGGAGGGAGCCUGCAGGGGAGGGGAGUGGGCAGACUUCAGGCUUGUACCUUAUAAGCCUCGCUCUUUGCUGUCUCUUUAAGGUUGAAAUGAGAACCUGAUUGUCAGUGACAGGAGAAAAAGGUAUUCACAAGUUUCUUUAUGUUUUGAAUAAUUGUUUCCUGUUUUGCUCAGCAGAACAAGUAAUUAAGAUGACAUUUGUGAGUACUAAUUUGGAUCACACUUAUGUGUAUGUGUGAUAAAGCUGCAAGCCAAAACAUGCAAACGCAGCCUUUCAUGGAGGAGAAAAUGAAAAAAUACGGAGUAAAAUGGGAGCAUGGGAAACUCGAAGGAGCUGAACAUCGUUGUGCAAAUUAGAACCUCAGUGUUGAUGGCAGGUCUCAUUAUAGUUGGUGCAUUUGGCUACCAAUGAGCAGACAGCAAUGCCCGCGGCUAGUGCAUGGGGGCCACUGUGCCACUGUGGUGGCAGUGAAAUUGGUCAUGCCCCUGUGUAGACCCUAGCUAGCACAUGCGUCUGGGUGCCCUGGUGUCUGCCCACCCUUCCAGAGCCUUUGCUGUUGCAGUCACUCUCCUAAGCCUGGUUCUUGCCCAGUGGAACCCAACCGUGGAGCCAAAAGGAAUGUGUGUGUGGGGUCACUGGAGCACUUGUUCCCUACCUGCCAGUAUGCUAUUCAGAAGCAGAGGGCCUGGGGCAGGUCUGGAGGGAGUGUGUUACAAAGCCCCUCAGUGAGCCUUGGGAUUGUCUGAGUUCUCAAAGACAAGUACCCCAACAGUGAUUGUGUCACCCCAGUGCUACUGUGGCCCACAGAGCCUCUGUGACACACAAAAAUCAUCCGGAGUGCAGCACGUGUACAGGUGGUACCUCGGGGGGUCAGGACCGCAUAAGUGACAAUUUGCUGAACGUCUCUACGCAGGUUAGAGAGCGGAGGGUGGGUAACUUUGUGGAAAGUUCUUCCACGGAUGGAUCAUUUUCAUCUUGGCCAAGUUGCAGCUUUGGAACCCAGACAUGCAAAUGAAACCCCAAUUUUGCAAAAUGUUUGCUGUGCCGUGUCUGCAAAGCAUUUAGUGCAAAGGAGAAAGAAAAAAAAACUGACACUUUUGGUCUCACUGUGGGUUUGGCAGUAAGAGGCACAAUAUCUGAAGGAGGCCAUUCCAGUUUUAAAAGUACAGACAGUGCUGUUGGAACUGACCACAAAAAGGUAUUGUUAAAAAAAAGAAUUAAAAACCAGCAGUGAUUUGGGGUCCUCCUGAAACCUCCCUGAAUCGGAGGUAGGCCCAGGAGGGGCAGGACGCAGCAGAAAUACUCCCAGAAAGGAGAGACAGGUCAUGCAGCGGGCUUGUGCUUUUGUCUGUGUGUUUGUGUGUGUGUGUGUGUGUGAGACACCAUACGUCUCCAAAUGAAAUAUUUAUUAACAAUUGUAGUGUAAGCCUGUGAUAAAAUAGCACAAAGGUUCUUUAAAGAAGUCCACUUUUAAGGCAUCAGAGAAGUUAAUGUGGCAAACAUUUUAAUUAAAACAUCAGAAGUAAAUUUUAUUUUAAACUUUAGGCCUCUGAAUUUUUCCAGUAAACACAGUUCAGCUAUGUGGCAAAGUCAUGGGUGGCAUCUAAAAUGACUUUUUACAUUCUACAAAAAAAUAAUAAAAUAAGGACACAGCCCCAAAUGGUGUCGCCUCUUCGCGGCCGCUCCACAUGCACAGAAUCUACUAGGAUUUGUCACGGCCGGGUGGCACCGUUUUGACUAUACAACAAACUUUUUUUCAAAAGUAUUUGUUCAGAUAACUUAAAAAUAAUAUAAAAAUAAACAAUGAAUUUGACUUUUCCUCAAAAUAAAAAAAAAGGAUGGAAAGUCUAAACAAUAGCAUAUUUUUGAAGUACAAAUGAAAAGUAAAGACACUGGUUCAUCUUAACGAAAUGGAUCAAAGAGACAAGUUCUUGGCUAAUGCUCGUCCCAGUAUCACAACGCCAGGCCAUGAUCAGAAACCAACAGAGACAAGAAAGAAGAAAAAGGAAAAGGCGGGAAAAGCAAUGUACAAAAUUUCAAAGAUAAAUACAAUAUUUAUAAUUGAUAUGUUACAAAAUAAAGUCCCUUACCAACUGCAAGUGUUCGUGGGAAAGUGUCAAAUGAAGACCAUUUUAUUCCUUAUACGACACAUAAGGAAUAAAACUUGUGUUUCUAAAUAUUUUAAGUGGAUCUGAAAAAAAUUCAAGACAAGUGUAUAAAUAUUUAGCUACAACUUUGGCAAAAUCACAAAAGUCUACAAUUUUAUAACCACAUACAAAACACAUUAGGGAAGAAGGAUCUAGAAGUCAAAAGGACAAUUUCUGGUACAAGAAACAUAGACCGCACAGUAGCCUAAGAAUGCAAUAGUAUACAGUGCUAGCAAAAGUUGAAAAAAUGGUGCAGCUCACAUUUGCUUAACAGGAAGCUCUAGCAGUGGGAGAAUAUUGGAACCAACAGACAGUAGCAUUUUUUCUCUGUCAGUGUGCUUGUUGAAGGCAAGAGAAUUCAAUAUCAAAGUUACAAUUUCUAACUACAAUAAGUUACAAAGUUUCAUUUCAUUAAGAUGAAGUUAAGCAAUGAUAAACCCUCCCCCCCCCUGCCACCCCAGUUCUCCUAAUCAUAUUGUCAUCCUUUUUUCCAGUCUGAUGGCUCAUACCUCCUUGGCCCCCUUUUAUCACCACAAAAAAAUAUUUCACAUUAUAGAGAUACACAACCAUUGUGAAUCUAAGUAUGAGUACAGAAAAAUGUUUGGAGGCAUUUUUCAUCAGUGUUUCAUGAUCAUCAAAAUGGUGCAUUCACAAAGUUUCUCCCAACACAUAGCAAUUACUAGACAUGGCCAAGACGGAGUCAGAAACUUUAUACAAAAUAGGUGUCGCUUUGUUUUCCUUAUUCUUCAGGACUGAGAAAUGUGAAAAUAUGAGAAAAGUUCAGUCAAUAAAAUGGAAUUGUUCAUGAAGAAGUAGGCUGUUUGAAUGUUGAUUCUUAAUAGUUUAAAUAAAAUCUUUAAACAAA